GAUGAAGAACGCAGCGAAAUGCGAUAAGUAAUGUGAAUUGCAGAAUUCAGUGAAUCAUCGAAUCUUUGAACGCACAUUGCGCCGGCCAGUAAUCUGGCGGGCAUGCCUGUCCGAGCGUCAUUUCAACCAUCAAGCCCCGGGCUUGUGUUGGGGACCUGCGUCCGACGCAGGCCCUGAAAACCAGUGGCGGGCUCGCUGUCCACACCGAGCGUAGUAACUAACCUCGCUAUGGAGUGGCGCGGGCGCCUGCCGUAAAACCCCCAAUUUCACAAGGUUGACCUCGGAUCAGGUAGGAAUACCCGCUGAACUUAAGCAUAUCAAUAAGCGGAGGA
rnacentral:misc_RNA from 1 species